UGUCCCUAUGUCCCCAUGGCAACAGGUCACCUUGUCACUGUGUCACCAUGGCAACGUGUCCCCAUGUCAUUAUAUCGCUCUGUCACCAUGGCAACGCGUCCCUGUGUCACCGCUCCCCAUGUCCCCAUAGCCCCAUCUCCCUGUGUCACCAUGUCCCCAUGGCAACGUGUCGCGGUGUCCCCAUGUCGCUCUGUCCCCAUGUCAUCACAUCACUGCGUCACCAUGGCAAUGUGUCACCAUAGCAACGGGUCCCCAUCUCCCCAUGACUGUGAGUCCCCACGUCCCCAUGGCAACGUGUCCCCAUGGCAACAGGUCACCUUGUCACUGUGUCACCAUGGCAACGGGUCCCCAUGUCCCCCCGUCCCCAUGUCAUCAUGUCAUUGUGUCACCAUGGCAACGUGUCACCAUGGCUACAUGUCACUGUGUCCCCAUAUCCUAAUGUCCCCAUGUCAUUACAUCACUCUGUCACCAUGGCAACGUGUCCCCAUGGCAACGUGUCCCCAUGUCACCGCUCCCCAUGUCCCCAUAGCCCCAUCACCAUGUGUCACCAUGUCCCCAUGUCCCCAUGGCAACGUGUCACGGUGUCCCCAUCUCACACCGUCACCAUGGCAACGUGUCACCACAUCACUGUGUCACCUUGGCAACAUGUCACCCUGUCCUCAUCUCACACUGUCACCAUGGCAACGUGUCAUCACGACACUGUGUCACCUUGGCAACGUGUCACCCUGUCCCCAUCUCACACCGUCACCAUGGCAACGUGUCAUCAAUCACUGUGUCACCAUGGCAACGUGUCACCUGUCCCCAUCUCAAACCAUCAUUGUGGCAACGUGUCACCAUGUCACUGUGUCCCCAUGUCCCCAUGUCCCCAUGUCAUCACAUCACUGUGUCACCAUGGCAACGUGUCACCGUGUCCCCAUCUCAAACCGUCACCAUGGCAACGUGUCAUCACGUCACUGCGUCCCCAUGGCAACGUGCCACCGUGACCCCAAUGACCCCUUGUCCCUCUGUCCCCAAACCCCACGGCCCCCAAAGC
rnacentral:lncRNA from 1 species